GAAUUUCUUAGUCCUGCAUAUGUGGUCUGGUUAAGAAUGACAUUACCUCUUAAUUUGUUAUUCAAAGUUAGCUAAUUGCAGAGUGUUUAAAAGAAUGAUAUGUCCUCCUAACUAAUUGGAAAUAGGUUCUUGUGGUAAGCUCUAACAUAUCCUGGAAUAAUAAAUCACCAAAUUUAAUGUUAUCUUUAAGAUUCAGUUGUUUAAGGUCGAGUUUUGACUCUAUUUCAGUUAGUUAGCUACGCUCGAGAAAUGUUGUUUGAAGUGUUCGUUUAAAACCAGUUUUAUGAUCUAUGAAUAAGAUUGUAUACGGUAAUUAAAAUAGGGACAUUUAGUUUAACACCUGAUGUUGCCCCUUUUAAGAAAAAAUGUGAUUGAGCAUGUUAAUUCCCUUGGUUCUUUGGAUAGUUAUUUUUACAAGAGGUACCUACUUCUAGAAAGCUAGUUCUGUUUUCAUGUUCAUCAUUAUCAGUUAUGACUUUGCUAUGCUAUGUCCUGAAUCUAUUAAAAAAUGCAAAGAUGUGUUAUAGCUUCCAUGUAUUUCUAAUGCGAAAAGCAAGUUGCAGUGGAUUACUUGGGGUCUUUGUACUCUUUGAUUCUUAUCCUCUGAUUGUAGUAAGAUUUCUUCCCCUUCUCUUUAUCUUCUUACAUGAAUAAUGAAAAUGCCCCUGUCUCAUAGCGAUGCCUUUUUCUAUCUGUUUAUGGCCAGUCCUUGCAAUAUAGUCACAUUAGUCAUCUUUGGGGUUCGCUUUAAGUCACGUGUGGUACUUGAGUCGCGAGUUUGGAUGAACAAGUGCUGAAUCUUCCUUUACAUUAGUGUCAAAGUUUGUUCUUGAGUGCUAGUUGUCCAUGUUACUUGCGAAGAUUGUGCUUUUCUUUUACAUUUUUCUUUAACAGAAAACAGAUUUUCAGGUUUUUACUUUAAGAGUUAACACCCAUCUCCCCUUUUCUAUGAUUUCUGGAAACUUGUUCAUAUUAUGAAUUGUUGAUUGAUUUUUUGAAAGACUUUUUGUCAUCUUAACAUGUUCGUAAAAUUUAAACUGAUUUAUGAUAUUCUUCAAAAGUAAUAGAGCAUCUUGUUUGAUGUUAUCUAGUUAGAAUUCCUUGUGUUUACGAACACUCAUUUUUUACCCCUCUUUUUAUUUGCAUAACUCAGGGAUUUUCAAAUCCAAAAUGCCAACGAGAUGCUGCUGAACUCGAGAUGAAUUACUGUUGUUCUUGAAUGGGCUGACUGCUGUAGUCCUUUAAGCCAAACGCCGCACUUAAUUUCAGCACUUUGCUGAAUUUGCUAUUUUGUUUUUUAAUAGAAAAACAAUUGCUGAACUUUGAAACUCAUUUUGUUGUUGAUGCCUUGCUGAAAUUACUAUUAUUUCCCUGAUAUUUGCUGCAAUUUGAGGUAAAGGAAAUGGCUGCUGUGCUUGAUUGAUUGAGCCCCUAUUAUGCUCAAAAUACCCUCCUAUGAUAUACUGCUUUGUUGUUUUUUGUUGUGGCUAUCUUUAGAUGUGUAGUUGAAAUCUGAGAACCAUGCUUGGGUUGUAGAAACAAAAUUCCUUUACAUAGUUAAGCAUCUGCUUUAAUACUAGGAUGGAAUAGUGUUGGUGCAUUCGGUUUGGGAACUUCUUGCGUGUUGUGUUCCAAAACUUUUCAGGACUAUUUCCUUUAGUAGUCCCUUGUUUUCUUGUAUUGUAUCUGUUGGCUGAAAGCCAAGACAAACUUAGGGAACGGUUUAGCCUCCUCCAAUAGUCCACCAUGCCUAGGGUUCGAUAGGCCCUUUUGAUCUUGUGCGACGUUGGAAUAGACGUGGUGGUAGCCCCCUUUUGUUAUUUGAACCUUUUUGCAGCUUGACGUUUAGCCUGAUGAUUCUGAUCAGUCUUUAAAUUUCUUUUUUUGAGUGCUGCUGCUGAAUUAGGAGUAACAUUCGCACACUUGAGAGCAUCCUUCACUACUAGUUGUUACAUUCUGAAUUGUUCUUUGUAUCUUAGGGCUAAAAAUGUCAUCUUUGAGUCAAUUUCUUUGCUGCUUUUGGAUUGCAAUUGCUACAUAUUGAGCAGAGUUUCUACUGCAUUUAGAGUCUAAUCUCUGUUGCACUUCUAAAAUUGAGAAGUGAUGCCUUUGCUAUUUGUUGCCUCCUGAAUUGCUCAAUUUGGCAAGUUUGCCAUAAAUGGUUGAUCUUAUAUGUUAUCAUUUAGGCUGGAAAGAUCUGGUGUUUCCCUUGAGCUUUUGGGGUUUACUCUUACAAUGUUGAGUUUUUAUUCCCAGAGAGCAAAUGUUACAUUUCUAAGGGCAAAUAGCUGUUGCCUUUUAAGGACAAUUGCCUGUUGUUUGCUGCUGCAAUUUAGGGUGAACUGAUGCUGAAUUGUUAUAGCUCUUUUAAGCUAAUUGUUGUUGUGUCCUUGAGCCAAAUAACUGCUGCAUCUUUACCCAUGUUGCUGCAUCCACCAAGCAGAAAAUGUAGUACUAUUCUACCACAUAAUAGCCUAUGAGAAUAUUUCGAGCCCUCUAUGAUUCUGCUAUCUGUUUGGUAUGUUGCUGGGUAUGGACAAAUACUACACUUGGUAAGAUCUAACUGAUGUGAAUAUGGUACUACACUGGGCCGAUGAAAAAGUAUUUAACUUGAGGCCACAAUUUUAAAAGAACAGAUUUCUAUACUUGAUGAAAAUUUACUGAUUUGAAUAGAUACUUAACUUGAGAAUGCCUAGUCCGGAAAGGUUCUAUCCCUCGGUGGGCAAUGAUGAUCAUAGUCUAGUUAUAAAAUAGGAACCAACAUGCAUUUGUCAAGGUAAUAGAAUGACUGACAGGUCGCUAUUUCGCAGCCAUGACAUGUUCAGGGGUCCUUUUUCCCAUAUUUGAAAGAAGCAUGAUUCUGAGCCUUUAGUAAUCAAAGCUCCUAUAGUUUGAUGCGAAACUGAGGGGUAUUAUAUUUAUAUUCAUAAACGUCACCCCGUGGGGUGGCGUAUCCCUUUGACUAAUCAUUCUCGUUUCUAUCCCUGCGAGGUACAUUCAAUCGAUAUAGGAUGGAAAAAGAGAAGUACUAAAAAGACGAGGCAAGGAUUUGACAUUUGGAGCUUUCAGACGAAAAAUAAAGGAAGAACGGAAUUGCAACUAAAGGUACAAGAAGGCUCAGCUAGGUUGCCAAGAGGAUUGCACCGAUAGGAUUUGCCGAAUACUAGCCAGUGUGGUGAGCUCCAUGUCAUUCAGAGUUACCAGGUCCAGAUUUUUGUCUACAUAUAGUAUGGGUAGGCCGGGGCCCUGUCCCAACCAUGUUACAAUUAGACUCCUGUAGAGGCUUAUGGACUUGUGUUGUCAGUUCAGUAUGUCAUAGAGGCCUUGUCGACCCUUGCAUAUGUCUGUUAUGGGUUAUUACUGCUUACAGACACGUAUACUGGCCGAGUCAGCCAGAUAACUAUUCACGUAUGCGUUGGGAUGGUCUCCUCUUGUUGAGUUAGUCUAAAGGAUAGAUGUUACAGCAUGAGGCCUCGU